UACGAAGGGGGCUAGCGUUGCUCGGAAUCACUGGGCGUAAAGCGCGCGUAGGCGGUUUUGCAAGCCAGAGGUGAAAUGCCUGAGCUCAACUUAGGAAUUGCCUUUGGGACUGCGAGGCUUUGAGGACGGGAGAGGUGAGUGGAAUUCCCAGUGUAGAGGUGAAAUUCGUAGAUAUCCGGAGGAACACCGGUGGCGAAGGCGGCUUCCUGGACCGACACUGACGCUGAGGCGCGAAAGCUAGGGGAGCAAACGGG
rnacentral:rRNA from 1 species